rfam:Zea mays cultivar B73 chromosome 7, whole genome shotgun sequence.
GGCCGGUGAUGUGACAAAAAAUAUUUGCUACUCUUGAUGGGGCAGGAGCCCCGCCUGAUGAUUACGAACCACCAAGAUCUCUGAGGCC